CGUUAGCGGCGGACGGGUGAGUAACACGUGGAUAACCUACCUAUAAGACUGGGAUAACUUCGGGAAACCGGAGCUAAUACCGGAUAAUAUAUUGAACCGCAUGGUUCAAUAGUGAAAGACGGUUUUGCUGUCACUUAUAGAUGGAUCCGCGCCGCAUUAGCUAGUUGGUAAGGUAACGGCUUACCAAGGCAACGAUGCGUAGCCGACCUGAGAGGGUGAUCGGCCACACUGGAACUGAGACACGGUCCAGACUCCUACGGGAGGCAGC
rnacentral:rRNA from 1 species